UUUACAUGCCAGUCGAACGGUACAGGUCUUCGGAUGCUGACGAGUGGCGAACGGGUGAGUAAUACAUCGGAACGUGCCUAGUAGUGGGGGAUAACUACUCGAAAGAGUAGCUAAUACCGCAUGAGAUCUACGGAUGAAAGCAGGGGACCUUCGGGCCUUGUGCUACUAGAGCGGCUGAUGGCAGAUUAGGUAGUUGGUGGGGUAAAGGCUUACCAAGCCUGCGAUCUGUAGCUGGUCUGAGAGGACGACCAGCCACACUGGGACUGAGACACGGCCCAGACUCCUACGGGAGGCAGCAGUGGGGAAUUUUGGACAAUGGGCGAAAGCCUGAUCCAGCAAUGCCGCGUGCAGGAUGAAGGCCCUCGGGUUGUAAACUGCUUUUGUACGGAACGAAAAGCCUGGGGCUAAUAUCCCCGGGUCAUGACGGUACCGUAAGAAUAAGCACCGGCUAACUACGUGCCAGCAGCCGCGGUAAU
rnacentral:rRNA from 1 species